ensembl:lncRNA
AUCGUUUUCAUUAUUGCAGCUCCUUCCUCAUUAUGAAAAAUGGAAAUUAUUUCAAAUCGUUUCAAGUCAAGUUAUUCAAAUUUCACAUAAAAAGGAGAAGCAUUGAAUCCUACUGUGGACUGAAUGACCACAAUUUUCAUACAAGUAUAGCCCCAGCCAGGAUUCUAAAUUUGGCUUCACAGAUUUAAUUAAAAUGUGCAGACUUCCUUUCACAAUGAACUGAUGGGGGCCAGAAUCCUAGUGUACAGCUCAUCAUGAAAAUGAGGGUUGUUAUGAUGGUGAACACAUUUUAUGGAAUGCUCAUUUAUUUCGUUAUAAUAAAACCCCCCAAAAUGUGCACUGUAUAUUUCACCGUGUAGAUACAAGAAGGAAAGGAAGGAAACCCUGGGUUUUAUUCCCUAGGUGUUCUCAUUGCUUUUAGAGAAACGCUAGUAAAUGACACUCAAGAAUCUCAUGAACAAGUAGGAUGGAUAGGACUGGUAAACCAUUUUUUUGGCAGGCUGAUACUGCAAAUGGUUUCUGCUUUCUGCCAUUGUGACCAUUGUUUAUUUUCAGCUUUCAUUCUUUCUGGCUCUCUUUUACCCAUCCCAUCCCUCUACCGCUAUGAUGACUCUCUGUCUCUCCAGGAGUUAUCCCUCCUAGCACAGUCCUGCUUUCCCUGCCCUCUGAACUCCAUACUCCACGGAUCCACUCCUUCCCAUUUGUUGCUCUUAAUGUUCUUCCUGUGCUUUUUCUUUGCCCUGCAGAAGGAGCAGAAUGGUUCCCUGUCCAAGGCACAGCCCUUCCCUGCACCAGGAGCUAAGCCAACACAGAGCACACCGGGGUGGGGUGAUGUAGUGAGCACUGCCUCCUGUCCUCAGCAGGACAAUUUGCCCGGCUCCUCUCAGGAAGACAAAGCUUGCAGGGGGAUGUCUGCAGGUUUUCUGCUUCUAACACUUCUCUCACCUGGAAAUGAAAUUUGAUCUGAACUGGGUAAAUCUGUGUCUGCAAUAUGAAUGACAUCAUCUGCAAAACAAGUGGAUGGAAUUAUUGUUUUGUUUUAUAACACUCAUUUUGAGGAACUAGCCUUUAUUUUAUGUUUUUCUCAUAUGCCUUCAUGCUAAAGUAAACAGUGUAUAAUAAUUAUUCAAUUAAAGCAGGAUAUAUAUUUUUUUUUUCGAGGAGGAAAAUAAGUUAGAAAAGCUUGACUGAGCACUAGUUAUGGUAGUAGAACUGCAGGCAGGGAAAACAGCAAAGGCUGUUGUAACUUCAAUUAAUGCCUAUUAUGUCAACAAUAACAUAAGGAGUCCCUGCAGUUUGUUUAAUAUUUUGUCAUGUUAGAGCAAGAAAAGUUAUUCCCAGCAAAUCCUAAUACCUCUGCACGAUCCUUUCAAAGAGCUAGACCUUUCUAUCAUUAUAUUCCUCAGUGAGGGAACCUCUCAGAGGAGAAAGAACAGGUCCAGGCCCAGAUGGCUGGAGAUCCAUGGGUGAAUAAGCAAUAUAACCAAACCAAGCAUAUUUAGGAAAGGACCGUGCUAGGGUGUGAUGUACUUAGGUGCUCAAGGCCAGGUUGGAUGGGCCCUGAGCAGCCUGAUCUGGUGGGGGCAGCCCUGCCCAUGGCAGGGGUUGGGACUGGAUGGCACUUAAGGUCCCUUCCAAUCCAAACUGUUCUAUGUUUCUACCGAUUCUAUGUUCCACUGAAUGAUGAGGCAAGAAUCAGCUGCCUGGCUCUGCAUGCGUGCACUUAAAGCAUUCCAGGGAAUCCUGCUGGUCCCCUGCUGCUUUGUUUGGAGAAGGGCAUUUGUUUCUUGUAGGUGAUGGCUCACGGCUGCUAGACCCAUGCAUGGGAAAUCUGAAGAGGCACUGGUUGCCUGUGCACCCAUCUAAGCUGGGUCAGUUGUUUCUUAAGAGGAACAGAGCGUUACCAUUUUGUGUAGGUUCAAAAGUGCCUGUGCCGGUCCUUUUAGCUCUGGGGUUUGCAGUGACAGGACCUUCUUCUAGGAAUUGAGAGCUGUAACAAGAUGUACAUGAGCACUAUUAGAGCUUCUGCUCUCUUCCCCAGAUCCUGCCAGUGCCUAGACAGCAGCUUGGCACACAGGGACAGCCAGACAAGGAUGGUGGAAAGCAAAUGGGACCAUUUCUUCACCUCUCCAAACUGCUUGUACACUCUGCUUUUUCUUCUACAUGCGAGACUGUAAAUAACGUCAUUUGUAAUCAUGUAAACUUGGUCUUCUGGGAAUGGAAAAACAGUUCCCAGCUGGGUACAAACUUGCAAAGCCAUCAAGUGGAAAUUCAGCAUGUGCUCAGCUUCUUAACAAAGCUAGUUUCGUGACUACAGAGAAAAUGAACACAGGCAAGAGGUUCUUUCAAAACUUCUUUUGCUGUGCGGUAGCUUAAACCCAGAAUGUUGCUGGACAGCCUGUAGUUUGCUUGUCUGGCUCCUUAUUGGAGCUCACUAUCCAGAGUUGUCCUUCUCCAUUAAGGAGAAAUAGGUGUUUCACUGUGACACCCAAAAUAGGUUGGUGGGGACCGGCAGGAAACUGGUAGAGCUUCACAAGCCCUGUCUGCAGCAAUGGGGAAGCGCUCUGUCCAGUCAGGAAACUCCUCCCAGAAAAUCAACAUUUAGAAAACCACUCUGAAACAGGCAACCUGAGGGUACAUUUCUCCUCGGUGGUAGCAGCCAGGCCACUGCCAAGAAAACAAUAAAAAUUUAAUGGGACCAGAGAGAGAUGAAAAU